UACGGGGGGGGCAAGCGUUGUUCGGAAUUACUGGGCGUAAAGGGCCAGUAGGCGGCCAACUAAGUCCGACGUGAAAUCCCAAGGCUUAACCUUGGAACUGCGUCGGAUACUGGAUGGCUUGAAUUCGGGAGAGGGAUGCAGAAUUCCAGGUGUAGCGGUGAAAUGCGUAGAUAUCGAGAGGAACACCUGCGGCGAAGGCGGGUUGCUGGGCUGACACUGACGCUGAGGCGCGAAAGCUAGGGGAGCGAACGGG
rnacentral:rRNA from 1 species